UACGGUAGGGACCGAGCGUUGUCCGGAAUCAUUGGGCGUAAAGAGCGUGUAGGCGGCCAGGUAGGUCUGCUGUGAAACUCGAGGCUCAACCUCGAGCUGUCGGCGGAAACCAUCUGGCUAGAGUCCGGAAGAGGAGAGUGGAAUUCCUGGUGUAGCGGUGAAAUGCGCAGAUAUCAGGAAGAACACCCGUGGCGAAGGCGGCUCUCUGGGACGGUACUGACGCUGAGACGCGAAAGCGUGGGGAGCGAACAGG
rnacentral:rRNA from 1 species